GCAGAGGAAGCAGUCGGUGAGUUAUGCAAAUAGUACGGCAAAGAGCCUUCCGAGUCAACUCGGGGAGUUUCUAAGAGGAAUCAGAAGCUGAAAAGGGCUUCUACUCACCGCUGAAGAGCCUUCCCCAUUUGAGCCUGACAUAUUCUCGUCAUUGGGCAUAAUGCUAGCUCAUUCGUGAAUAUUCCUAAUUUCUUCGAUUGUAUGCACCGAUACUAGGUUUGGUAUUAUGCUAUCCUAACCUAACAUGCGAAUCAUCAGUUUAUCGAGGCUAUGACACAGCGACCGGGUGUAAUCAGGCUUAAAUUACCGGACGGUAAUAGUAAAACGUCGCAGGGACACUCGACUGAUAGAAAGCGAACAAAGAGAGACACUCCCUCCUAGGUUAGGUUUCAUGACUUGUCAUUGCCUGUCACGUGGCCGCCACAGCUGACACGUGUCUGAAAACAUACUGUUUUGACAGGGCUAAUGCCUAAUUUCCAUUCACGCGGAAAGUGCGCGGAAAGCACACGGGAUCAACGCGGAAAGCGUAGAGAUGAGUUGGGAGAUUGCUCACGGGCAGGGUCGUGCAAUCGCGACCUGUGCUGCCCCCGGUGGAGGCCGCGGACGGCUAACGCACUUGCCACCUCUUACCCCUCAAUGGUGGCGCCACCCAUUUCUGGUGGGGGCUCGCGCAACUCGAGUGGAAGGUCAGGUAUAUAUUGGAGACCGCGGCGCCAAUUCCGGCAUUCGCCCAUCAACUAGGGCGCCGUGCGGAUGUGGGCACGAGCUGUACAAAUGAAUAGCUUUCCAACUCCAAGAGGGCGAACCCUGCCACUCAUAAAUUACCAGCUAAUUCCUAAUGUCCACUGACGUUCCCCGACUAGACUUCUCGGGUUUAACUACCUAAGUAGAUUUUUUAUACUUAAUCGACCAGGCGAUUUUCCUCCGGUCCGCCUAGCAGUUAAAGUCACGCGAGGCUCGUAAAGGCCUGUUAGAUUUUACGAGAGCGGCUGGGAGAUAAGGAGUUUUUUUUACGAGGGCUUAAAGUCUGUCGAAAAAGCCCGCUGCCGGGGAAAGUCAUCCCUGGCCGCGCGUUUUGUUCCUUGCCGGUCUCCACGCUGUUAUUCCAACCUGGCGAGAUCGGGCGAAUACCUUUUUCAGUAUUUACGAGCGAUAAGUGAGAUCUAAAUUAUACCCCAUGUUUCCGUAAACAGAUGAUGGGCCGCACUGUGUCAUCAGCGGAAUAUUUCCGAAUGUUUAAUCCACCCGGGAGCGCCGCCCAACACCCUGGAGUCACGGACGGCCAAAUAACGCGAGCACGUGAGUAAACGCGCGGCUCUUUGAUCAGCUGAUUUACUCCAAAACAUUGGAAUCCUAGGAAUUCCCCGGUGUUUUUCCCAGCCCGGAUGAUGAGCCGUCCUGGAGUCCUAGGGGACGCUCCAGAUGACUCCAGGAGGCACUUCAAGAUAAAAGGGGAGAGACUCGUUCCCAUGAAUUCAUCGUUCAACAUUCCGGAAGGUUUCCUCGCGUACUUCCCAUGGACCAUGGAUGAACGAUUCAGGGAGCCUGCCGGUGAAGAACUCCACUUCCUAUCGGCUGACUCCUCGAGUGACCUCAGAAGAGACGAUAUCAUCGAUAAAGUGCAGCGGUAAUAAGGAAGCGCAAAACUUUCCACUGGACGUUUCGUCGAAAAAACGGGAGAGCGUUUACAAGGUGUUCAUAUGUUACGAUUAAUCCUACGUCUAGGAUUGUCCCUCGUCGCGAAGGUGGCCAAGUCCUAAUAAGAGUCUUGGUGGAGGCUUACUUCCAUAAAAACUAAUGUAAUUCGGUAUUCCUAUUCUCGCCUCGUCUCAGCCUUCGAACGACGGUCUCGUCGGCGUAAAUAUCGUCCAAGGACAAUGAUCUCGUCGCUCGUCAAAAACGGACAUCCUCGAAGAGAGUCGGAGGGGAGUAAAAUUGGCCGGUGAUAAGUAAAUUGUCGCGAAACGAGACACGAAGAAUGCAAACGGCAAUCUCGUGUAGAAUGCAGUAACAAACCGACGUUUAAGUGGUGGCGUUAUCGCCGAGAGUUUAUCGGAAAGUAGCGUCGUCGAAGGCCUUCCUUUAGAGGGCUGGGAACGAUCGGGAAAAUCUGUAUUCCCAACAAAAUACACUUGUCACGUCGAAAACACCUUUAUCAAGACUGAGACACCUGCGCCAAAUACGUAUAAGCACAUCGUCACCAUCACAAAACGAAUGGAGGACGAUUAUUACAUUAAAUCUACAAUUUCCAUUUUUUCUUUCAUCUUUACAAAAAGACGCGAAAUACGUAUUUGGCGCGAAACGCUGUCGGGUUUCUUGGUAAAGCAAUGAUUUUUACAAUCGGGACUGAAACGAAGUCCAGUUUUAUUAAUUGUAAGUGGCGUUAGAGCGAUCUACGCGAUAUAGGAAACAAAGAGAGCAGGGUGAACGCCAACUAAAGUGAAUGAUAUCUCUCAAUCCUCCGUAAAGAAGCGAUGUUUCCUCGUGUCCGUUCCUCGAAGAAUGUUUAAAUGCACGUCAACGCGACGUCCGAUGUCGGAUCAUGCCACUGGCUAGAAUUUCUCUCGGCAUUCGCGUCACGAUUCGCGUUCACACCGACCUUCGCACCCGUCCGUUUGCAAAUCGAGCCGAGUGAAAUAUAAAAUUUAAUAUCCACUCAGCGAAUGCUUGCUUCUUAUUGAAACGACGAAAAAGCGCCGCGGAAGUCUAACCUAAGAAGCGCGUAACUUGCGACUCGGGGGUUCCCACUCGUUCGCGAGAAUCAGGCAUUUUCUCGGCCCCUUCGUCGCGAGGAUGAAUUUAUGUAUUUAAGCGGAGCUUUUAGAGACCAGACCAAACAAUCGGUCGUCACGUUUUGACGUGACAUAAGGAAAUUAAUGCAUCCGGCCGCGCUUUGAAGUACACCUCGCUACGCGACGAUUUCCUGUUCCUCUGCCUGUUAUUUAUCAUUCGAAUUGCGCGCACAUCGGCCUUGCCUGUGUCCUCCACAUUCUGUCACAUUUUCAAUUAGUUUUAUGUGCUUCGAAACGUUUACGUGACGCAAAUCGUCAUUUUCGUACAACCCGCGCUUAGAUAGACGCUGGACGCGUCGCCAUGGCAACCGAUAAAAUGGCGGUCAAGAUGGCGGCCACGCCCGGCAAGAGCGCGUUUCGCGUCGCCGUUCGCAGAGGUUAAUCCGUAUCAGAUCGGGACUGAUAAAAAUGUGUGAAAAAGUGUGGCACCGAUACGAUGAUACCUUACGCCGACCGUGAAUUCGCGUUAAUCGCUUGAAUCGCAGGAUUUCGUAAUGACCUAAUGGUGCUUCGUUUGUCGUUCGUCACGCUUGUUUACGUUAGGAUGACAACCGCGUACGUGACGGCUCUUGUUAUUGCCCCGAUAUUUUCUGCUCGCCGUAGGUUGCCUCUAUUGCACCGCUUGUGUUUUUUUUUUAAGCGAUCUUGCGUGGGCGUGAAAUUUUUUAAGGUGUCGACGAGAAGAGAGGCGACACUGCGUUGUCGGAUAACGCGUUAUCGCGAGAAUGUCGAAAUAUCGCUCUCUGUCACUUAUAGCGCAUUCCGACGUCACCGUGACGCAAUGUAACAUUUUAAGACGCUGUGUCACAUUGUUUCGGCGAGCCAUAACUCGCACAGUAACGUAAUUUGCAAUGGCUUUGUAGCGAUUGCAUUUAGAGACUGGACAGUUUUUUAUCUUUCAUCUUGCACGUGGAAAGGAAGGAAAAAUCCCCAGGAAGAAAAAUCGGUUCUUUAUAUCACGUUGGUAGAAUUUCAUAUCAUUGAUUCGGCACGAACGCAGUAAUUGUAGUUUGAUAACCCCGAUGUCGAACGAUGUUAUCUUCACCUCAAAAGAUACCACAAUGAUAAGCGGUUCAUUGGAAUCUAUGAAAUGAAAAAUAACACAGCGCCAGCAUUUCCAAGACUCCCGCCUUGACGUUCGAUUCCAAACAUGCUGUAAAGCAAAUUACUGGUAUUCCCCUAAGCUUUGAUCUUAUCGAUUCGCUACAUAGAGUCAUUUUUAUUCUUUCCGGUGUGCAAAAGUCCAUUGGCUUUUCGAAGUUUAUCCCUGAAUCAUGAUUUCGCUAAUCUUGACAGGAUAUGUGAUACUAAUUGAUGAGGGUUCAAUGUAAUAUUCAAUUGACGUGGUUCGCAUAUCUUUGUUAGGCAAAUAUGAUAAAAUAUUAGCAGGCAAUUAGCCCGACGUAAUCUCAUCCUUGGUGUGAAAGUUUAGGUACAACUUCACAGCCUAUAAUGUUUAUUUCAUAGUCAUCUCUAUGUACACAUUUCGGUAUUACCUGUCGCUUAUCAUGUGGAUUACAAGUGCAUUCGUUGAUUGAUUAAGCAUCCAAUUGAUAACGUGAUGGACUCGACAGAGCAUCGGUAGAAUUUUAUCCCGAAAGUCUUACUCUCUACGAAUACUGCAGCUCACUGACCCAGUGAUCAUGACAUUUCUGGCUUUGCAAGCUAAAAAUCUUUCUACACUGGCAAUGGAAAUGUUUCGAUCCACAGAAACCAUCUUACAUAACCCGAAAUUGCUAAGCUGUCUAUUAGUAACUUCAUGAUUCAUGAGUCCCUUGAGAGUCUCCUCUUUAAAGUUAAUCGAUGAUUCAGUGUAUAUGUAUGUGUAUUUGUGUACGUCAUUUCAUCUAGGAAAAUCCAGAUUAAAGUUCUUACUUGCCGAAUGAUUUUAUUCGAUCAUUCGGCAGGGAAUGGACGUGUUCUUGCCACCGGAAUUAUUCUCUUUCUCACAGUUCCAACUCGAGUCGAGCAAUUGCUGGUCGAUCUCGUAGCUGGAACCCUGACAGACUCAAACUCUGUCGGUGCAUCUUCUCUUUGGAAUUCAUCUAAAUGUUGGCCAUCUGUCCUCGAUUCACUGUCACUGCAUCGAUCCAGAUUAAGGAGGUUGAUGGCGUUAACUCAUGGAAACGGCUUUUUACCGGCGAUAUUCUACGUCUCUGUGCGCCUCCGAGCCCUUCAACGGUUCAUGCUGCCGUAAUAGGGCGGACGUAUGCUUAUCCGUUCGCUUCCGUGGC